rnacentral:rRNA from 1 species
UUGGUGGGGUAAUGGCCCACCAAGGCUUCGACGGGUAGCCGGCCUGAGAGGGUGACCGGCCACACUGGGACUGAGACACGGCCCAGACUCCUACGGGAGGCAGCAGUGGGGAAUAUUGGACAAUGGGCGAAAGCCUGAUCCAGCAACGCCGCGUGAGGGAUGACGGCCUUCGGGUUGUAAACCUCUUUCAGCGCAGACGAAGCGAAAGUGACGGUAUGCGCAGAAGAAGCACCGGCCAACUACGUGCCAGCAGCCGCGGUAAUACGUAGGGUGCGAGCGUUGUCCGGAAUUAUUGGGCGUAAAGGGCUCGUAGGCGGUUUGUCACGUCAGGAGUGAAAACUCGGGGCUCAACCCCGAGCCUGCUUCUGAUACGGGCAGACUGGAGGUAUGCAGGGGAGAACGGAAUUCCUGGUGUAGCGGUGAAAUGCGCAGAUAUCAGGAGGAACACCGGUGGCGAAGGCGGUUCUCUGGGCAUUACCUGACGCUGAGGAGCGAAAGUGUGGGGAGCGAACAGGAUUAGAUACCCUGGUAGUCCACACCGUAAACGUUGGGCGCUAGGUGUGGGACUCAUUCCACGAGUUCCGUGCCGCAGCUAACGCAUUAAGCGCCCCGCCUGGGGAGUACGG